UUAGUCCCAGGGUGUUGGGUGGGGUAAACCCCGGGUCGUGAUCGAAAUGAGCGCUUCUGCUCCUUGAGCCUUGGAGUAACUGGAGCGGGUGGGGGCCACCUUUAAAUCUGUUAUGACACGGUCAGUGAUUCUUAAACCUGGCUGUGUGGGGAGAAUUUGUAGGGAGAGCUUGUUAAAAAGUCGUGUUUCGGGGCUCCACCCGCUACCCGAUGCAUUGAAUCUCACAGGAACCCGGGGAUUCGCAUUUUAAUAAACUAUUCUGGAGAUUUUGACUCCGGUCGUCAGCCUGCAGUUCACAGUGGCUUUGGAUUUGCUUUUUAGUAUCCCCCAUCUUCAAGACCUAAGCUUCGAUCUCGCGACCCCGCCCAUUACCCUCUGCCUUCGAUAGCCACAGAAGUCUCUGGGGUCUUAAGGUUUGCCUGCUGGCCCCGCCUCUUGUCUUUCAAUUGGUCCCUCGCUGGUCCCGUCCUGGAGCCAAAUUUUCUUUUCUGAUUGGUCAGCUGCGAGUUGUGGCGAGACCUGAUCCAAUGGCCGCCUGAAGCAAUGGUGUCGUUCGUGAAACGCAGCCCUAUCGUUGGUCCUAAGCUGACAAAUUGGUCUGUGGACGCCAAACUUCAGUGCUAGGACUUUCUGCGUGUGGACAGGGGGCCUGGUCCUGCGUGGGUCCAAGACAGACAGGAGAAAGCUGCCUGCUUUUGUGCCUCCCGGAGGCCCUGGUGGAAGCGAAACGGGGGCAGGAGCUGCACUGUCCCAAGCCCAGUGAGGCGAAGCUACCGGAGACAGCUCCGCCGGAUCCAAAGUUGGGCUUACCGGCUGGAACUUGAAACCCGGGCAUGUCGGACUCCUGCUGAAGCCAUCAUUCCUCUCUCCUGGCCCUGGGCGCCUUCGCCGGCGGGGACAACUGGUUUCGGGGCCAAGGUGGUCUGGGAGCCUGACGGUGACUUCUGGCCUGGGUUCCCACGAGCGGAAAGGGUUCCCCUCCCGUGAGAGGGAAACUAUGGAAGUUCCUACGCCUGGAGCCAGAACUCCUGCUGCUACCGCCCGACUCAAGGUUUAGUCUGGCGGCCUCCCACCUGUGCUUCUGAGAGUUCUGCUUCCAAGAGGCUGCUGGUGCCCGGGACACCCGCAGGCUGCUCUUAGAGUUUCGCCAUGGGUGACUUCGGCCUGAGAUGCGCUCCAUGGAGCAGAUUCUGGAGUUGCUGGUGCUGGAACAGUUCCUGACUAUCCUGUCCCAGGACAUCCACAGCAGGGUGCAGAAGCUGCAACAGGCGAGCUGUGAAGAAGCUGUAACUCUUUUAAAGUAUAUGUAUGACUUUUAAAAGAUAGAGCUUGUGAAAGUGAGGGAAUAGGUGAGUGAGAAAGGUUUUAUCUGCCAUCUUCCUCAAGGAGGCCCAGCCUCCCCUUUAUUCACAGGGUUCUGGGUCUGGUGGGUCCAGAGGACUGAGAUAUCUCGCUGUCUUAGUUCCCCAUUCAGAUUUUCUUGAUUGCCCUCAGUAGACCUUACACGGGCCAGUUUUUUUUUUUUUUUUUUUUUUUUUUGAUAGUCUUCUCUGGAACAUUCAUCCUCCAGAUUUCCCCCCAGUGCAGUGAAGAGUGACCUAUUGCUUUUGGUUUCCACAGGGAGGCAGUGUCGCUGUCAUAGUGUCAGCUCUGGAGGUAGAUCAAAGGGGGCUUUCAGCUCCUGGCUCUGCUCCCUACUAGCUGUGCGACUUUGGGCAAGUGACUCUUGCUUGGCUGGGCUUCACUUUCUGCAUUGGUCAAAUGCAGAAAGGGUAAUAGACCCUUCUGGGGUUGUUUGGAGGAUUAAAGGGAGAGCAGUAUGUCCGUGGUAAUCGCACGGCUGGCACACAGCUAGUGCUUGAAACUGUGAGCUGCUGUUAGGUUAGGGGCAGCAGUCUGGUCUCUGCAGAGAUGGGUCUCAGUUAAUUGUGAACUUAGACAGUUUGGCACUGAGGCUUUGGGGUCACUGUCCCAGGGGCACCCAAGUAAGCUUGUCUAAAUGAGAGGAACAGGAGCAUCAGGAGAAGGUGGGGGAGGGACCGAAGACCUAUGGGGAACAUGUGUGUACUGAAAUGGGCUUUCUCCCCACACCCUCCACACAAGCACAUACACACAUUAACUCAGGGUCAUGGCAUCAUAAAAACCUUGAGUUUAAACCAUCCCUUUCUUGUUGGGUCCAAAGGGACAGACUGUGGUUUUCUGUUGAAGGUUUACCCUCAGAUUCCUGUCAUAAUUUUUCUUUUCUAUUGAGCCCUGUCAUGAUGAUAAGCGAUGGCAGGUUGGUUCCUAGAUCAUACAUCAUAGACCUAGCACAGAAGUGUUUUCAGAAGAGCCUUUUCCUUACAAAACAGCAUGAAAGUCAUGGAGCCAGUGGAUACUGAGAUUUCAAACUGGAGCCAAUGGAUACUUAGAGGAGCCCUGUGGUGUAGAGUAGUUGCUACUUCUUGUUCACUAGGUCUAAUUAGCAUGUCAUCAAUGUAAUAGACUAGUGUGUUGUCUUGUAGAAAAGGUGAUCACGAUUCCUGUGAGCUAAACUAUGAUGUAGGGCUGGAAAAUUGAUGUACAAUAUACCUGAGGUAGGAUGGUGAGGGUGUAUUCCUGGUCUUGCCAGCUGAAAGCAAAUUGCUUCUGGUGGUCUUUACUAACAGUUAUUGAGAAAAAAAAGUAUUUUCAAGGUCAAGAGGUGCAUACUAGGUUCCAGGGAAUGUGUUAAUUUGCUUAAGAAAUGAAACCACAUCUGGAACAGCACUGCAAUUGGAGUCAUCACCUGGCUUAGUUUACAAUGACCCACUACCGUCUUCCAAGAUCCAUCUGGCUUCUGCAUAGGCCAAACAGAUUUUAAUCAGUGCCUUGGGAUGCCUGCCCUCCUCUCCCCAGAAAGCCUUGCUGCGGGGGUCCGUCCCACAGACCCUGACUCAACGAUGGAUGAAUAAAGUACACUGACACACAGAUA